rnacentral:rRNA from 1 species
UACGUAGGGCGCAAGCGUUGUCCGGAAUUAUUGGGCGUAAAGAGCUCGUAGGCGGCCUGUUGCGUCCGCUGUGAAAUCCCGAGGCUCAACCUCGGGUCUGCAGUCGAUACGAGCAAACUAGAGUGUUGCAGGGGAGACUGGAAUUCCUGGUGUAGCGGUGAAAUGCGCAGAUAUCAGGAGGAACACCGGUGGCGAAGGCGGGUCUCUGGGCAACAACUGGCGCUGAGGAGCGAAAGCGUGGGGAGCGAACAGG